GGGAAUCGCACCAAAGUACCAGCCCAAGCCGGGCCUCCUCGUCGCUGGUAGAUGAGGAAGGCCCCACCCCACGCAGCCGAGCUGGUGAGAGCAGGACCGCGUCCCCCAGCCUCCGGAAGGUGAAGCGGAAUCCUCAGCCCGCCCUCUGGGCGGGGCGCUGCCUGGCUAGCCGGUUGCGCAGCAACGACGGGCCGCGCUUGGCGUGCGCAGCCGCGUUUGGGCCCGAGGCGCGCGCUCGCGCACCCACCCCCUGGUAGGCUCGCGCCUAGCGUAGGCUGCUUGCUGGGUUGCUCCUUCCUUCUGCGGCGAGGAGGACAGUACGCAGACUCGGCGCCGACCGGCUACCCUUCUAGCGUCUCUGCGACCGCCGCGGCGAAGAUGGCCUCAGGAGUGCAAGUUGCAGAUGAAGUAUGUCGCAUUUUUAUGACAUGAAGUUCGGAAGUGCUCCACACCAGAAGGAAAUCAAGAAAAGAAAGAAGGCUGUCAUUUUUUGUCUCAGUGCAGACAAAAAGUGCAUCAUUGUAGAAGAAGGGAAAGAGAUCUUGGUUGGAGAUGUUGGUGUAACCAUAACCGAUCCUUUCAAGCAUUUUGUGGGAAUGCUUCCUGAAAAAGAUUGUCGCUAUGCUUUGUAUGAUGCAAGCUUUGAAACCAAGGAAUCCAGAAAAGAGGAGUUGAUGUUUUUUUUGUGGGCACCAGAACUAGCUCCUCUGAAAAGUAAAAUGAUCUAUGCAAGCUCCAAGGAUGCAAUCAAAAAGAAGUUUCAAGGCAUAAAACACGAAUGUCAAGCAAAUGGGCCAGAAGACCUCAAUCGGGCUUGUAUUGCUGAAAAGCUAGGUGGAUCCUUAAUUGUAGCUUUUGAAGGAUGCCCUGUGUAGACCAUCAUUCAGUGCCACAAAUUGAAAGCUUCCAUGUUUAAUGUUAUCCUCUUGCUAUAUAAAUGUUUAGGCCAGGGUCUCACUGAGGGGGAGCUGUCUUGUCAUCUGUUAGAGUAAAUUAAAUAUUCUAUAAACAUGUGCAGAUGGCCCUAAAUAAAUCUAAAAUCUGAAGUUUUAUUGGUGUGAAAUUAAAUUCUUAUUGGCCAGAUGCCUGUUUUUGAUGGGUUGGCUUGUAAAGAUUUUUGUUAAACUCAUGAUUUUUAAUAAUGCAGUUCACAAAACAGUACAAGGCCGUAUGAAGAGAAUCACUGCAUCUUUGUAACCUCAGCAGUUACUUUGUUUCUUUGCUUAGAGAAUUGGUCAUAAUCUGGUUAUAAUUUUGGCCCAAAUUUAUUCUCUCUGGAGCUAAACUGCAUACUAGAAAAUAAAUCUCCUCACCAUAUGUAACAGCACUAAUAUACUAACUACAGUAAGACUAAGGCAGCCUUCUAAUUCUAGCAACUGUGUGAUGGAGACUGCCUCAGAAUUGUGCACACUUCUAACCGGCGCUGAUUUUGCAAAGCACUAUUUUGAGCACGCGGUUGGAAUACAGGAAGCAGCUCUCUGCACCUGCAGUAAGCUCUCCAUUCGCUAGUUCGGGAGACUGCUCUGAGAGUGACCUUGCAUCUUGGAAAUCAAAUCAUGGUGUGUCCUCAGGAGAAUGUGCAAUACCUUGCAACGACUUCAUUAUAACACAAAUUAGGGCUCCAUUGUAAUAUACUUUGUUAAUGAAAAUGAUAAAAUGGUGUAUUGACAAGCUGGGACACUUGUGACCUCUUUAAUUGUGUCUCCUUCAAAAUUUUGUUGCUUCUGGUACAGUAAAGUGUGGAAGAACAUUAGGUACAUGUUUAUGCUGGGGCCUGGGAGAACUUCCAAAUUUCCUAGAGCAGUUUGUGGAUUGUAUGGGAAAUGGGGAGCAGGUGUAAUGGAUGACACCCACGGAAGCCACUACCUGAUGACACUUGCAAGUGAUUGUCCUUAACAUCACAGGCAUAACGACACUUUGAACGGUGUAGAGAUGCACACGGUUGGACUUAGAAGUAGCAGUAUUGGCUUUAUGUAAUAAAGGAAGCAUUUUUAACUCC